AUUCCCAAUCUCUCCUCUUGAAAGGAACCUUUGCAAAUGUUCCUAAGUUGGUAUCGCAAACGAAAAACCCCAACACUGAGGCCAUGGAAACUGCCAUAUCAGAGAGCAUGAGAGAGUAUAACAAGCAACAGAUGGAAUCUAAAAUUGAAAAACAUGCGGUGAAGAACACUUUCAUCCUACAAACCCCCUUGCCCACAAAGUCGGCGGUGGUGGAAAUGGGUAAAAGGCAUGAGGUUCUGCCAAAGAAGCCACCAAAUAUUAAUAUGAAGGCCUCAUGUUCAACUCUAAAUAGUAAAAGAUUUAAUCUCUUCGUGUCAAGGUGACGGUGCCAAUUUGGCCGCUACAUAGGUUCACAUGAGAGUCUCUGGUGCCAAUUUUGGUUCGUGAUUGCUAACGACAGUCUAUGGUAGUCCGCAGCAUUUGGUGGCAGGUAUUGAUCAACCUUGGUGCUUUAUUGGGGGACUUUAAUGCGAUACUCCAUGAUCAUGAAAGAAGAAGGGUUGUACCAAAUUUUGGCCAUGGGACAUUCUUAGAUUUUCAAGCUUGCAUUUUAGAUUGUGGAUUGGUGGACUUGGGUUCGAUAGAUGGCCUUUCACCUAGAAACGUGGAAACCUUGUGGAAAGACUGUACCGGGGACUCAAUAAUCAUGAUUGGCAAAUAGCCUUUCCCGAAGCAAGAAUUAAGCAUCCACUAAUGAUGAAAUCCGAUCAUUCUCCUCUCUGCCUUUCUUUCACUUUUGCCUCUUCUCCAAAUAGAAGACGAAGACCUUUUAGGUUUGGUACUGCCUGGAUGUCUCAUUCGAAUUUUAAAAAUCUUUUUAAUAGAAGCUGGAAUAUGGAGAAUUUUUGGGUUAAUUACAUUGCAGACUUUCAAAAAGAUUUAAAAGAGUAGAAUCACAAUAUUUUUGGCAACAUUCAGCAAAGGAAAAGCAAAAUUUUCAGAAGGCUUCAGGGAAUAAAUGCAAGUCUUAAUGUAAACAAUAAUCACUUUCUUGAAAAAUCACAGUUUGAAUUGUGGAAGGAUAUAAAGAAAUCCUUUCUCAAGAGGAGAUGCUCUGGUUCCAAAAGUCUAAGUGCCAAUGGCUUGAAUUCGGUGACUGUAAUACCAAAUACUUCCAUGGCACUACCAUGACGAGAAGGAAAAGGAAUAAGAUCAAGGCUCUUCAAGAUGAUGGUGGUAGUUGGAUUUCAGAUUAACAAGCUCUCUAGAUGAUAUGUACAAAUUUCUACUUCGAGCUUUAUAUAGACAACUUUCCAAAUGUCCCUUAUAUCUUUAA